AAUAGAUACCCCGGUAGUCCACGCCGUAAACGAUGGAUGCUAGCUGUUAGAGGUAUCGACCCCCCUUAGUAGCGAAGCUAACGCGUUAAGCAUCCCGCCUGUGGAGUACGGUCGCAAGACUAAAACAUAAAGGAAUUGACGGGGGACCCGCACAAGCGGUGGAGCGUGUUGUUUAAUUCGAUGAUAAGCGAAGAACCUUACCCAGGCUUGACAUCCUUGGAAUUUUUACGAAAGUAGAGAGUGCCUUUGGAACCAAGUGACAGGUGUUGCAUGGCCGUCGUCAGCUCGUGUCGUGAGAUGUUUGGUUAAGUCCAUCAACGAGCGCAACCCUUGUAGUUAGUUGAAUUUUUCUAGCUAGACUGCCCUGGUAACAGGGAGGAAGGAGGGGAUGAUGUCAGGUCAGUAUUACCCUUACGUCUGGGGCUACAAACACGCUACAAUGGCCGGUACAAAGGGCAGCCAAGUCGCGAGACGGAGCAAAUCCCAUCAAAGCCGGUCCCGAGUUCGGAUAGCAGGCUGAAACUCGCCUGCUUGAAGUCGGAAUCGCUAGUAACGGU
rnacentral:rRNA from 1 species